UGUGAAAGUUCACUUAGUUGUUUGAAGAUCCUUCUUUUAGUUUUUAUCUGAAGAGUUCAGCACUUUUCAACAUAUUUUUAGUGUUUUCCUUUUGUAGUACUGCUACAAACAGCUCAGGUUAGCACCUUCAAAUUAACGAACCUAGUCUCAUUCUGAAUGUUUUUUUUAUUGUUUUGUCUAGCAUGUUAAUCACCGACAGAGGUUAGGGUUCAUGUUGUUUGUGCUCAUUUGGAGCAAGGAACUCGUUAUCCCAGUGGUAGUUAUUUUCAGUACAUUAUUUUGUAUAUAAAUUUUCAUUUAUGAAUAGUUUUACGUUCAUCUUUUCCAGGUCAGCAGAAUAUGUGGUAUGGGCUUUGCUUAUUCAAAUAUUGUUUUACAAAGGCUGUAGUGACCUAUAGUUGUAAAUUUCGUUCAUUUGAUUUAUUGUGGAGAGUUCUUAGACAUAGGCAAUGCUGCCUCAUCUUUUAUAUAUAUUACCGACCUGGUUUCUUCAGGUCAUGUAUCACUUCAUACCAAUUAUGAAAUAUUGUCUGUCAUGAGUAGUUCCAUCAAACCAACUUCAGCAGAAAACUUUGGGUUUAAAAUCACUAGACCAUAACCCAUCUAGGCCCUCAAAACAUUUAUAUGCCCUUGAACUUCGAAGAGUUUUAAUUUGUACUACCCCUGGAAUUCACCAAUCAAUUCAGCAUCUACAUUCCCAUGCUGCCGAUAUUCAAACUCUGUAAGCCAGUUAUGAUAUUCAGCAUUGUUAACAAGUUUCUUAAACUUUGAAUGAAUAAAAAUUUCAGCAUAGUGUGGAAACAAAAAUCUG
rnacentral:lncRNA from 1 species